rnacentral:tRNA from 1 species
UCCUCAAUAUCUCAGUGGUAGAGCGGUCGACUGUUAAUUGACUGGUCGUAGGUUUGAAUCCUACUUGGGGAG